rnacentral:misc_RNA from 1 species
GGGCGUGUGAGUGGUGUUUGGAUUGUUUCUGCCGGCUGGCUCCGUGUUCGUCCACCCAACGGUCGGCAGGCAAUCCGCGUCGGUUGCUGUGAGGUGGGAUGGUGCCUUUGAGGCUGGUUCUUGUGCUGCCUACCCCUUUCAAAGGGAAGAAGGCCACUUGCAGUUAGCCUCCAUCCGGCGCCUUCCAAUGGGCGCGGGAGGACAACGAAGCGCCCCCCGUGUUCCACCGAGCCUUUCAUCGGACGCGUGGCCCACGGGGGAGUGCAAAGCUCUUGGACCCAGCGUAUGCCGUGGACGGGGACUCACGUCCCAGUCCCGAGAGGAGCUUAAGAUAUAAUGGGUGACGGCCGCUCUCGCCCCUUGGACCGCCUCGGCGGCGGGGGGCGGGGUGCGGCGUCGUGGAGGAAUGCUACCUGGUUGAUCCUGCCAGUAAUCAUAUGCUUGUCU